UCUGUACUAACUUCACAGUCAUUUCACUGUCGUCAAAGUAACUAUUCCACCUGAUAGCCCAAACCUUAUCAAUUUAUGUUUUUAAACGUCCUCAAAACAGGAGAGAAUCUAUGUGUUGUUCACGUAAUCCCCAUGAGACGUCAAUCUUGGGAACCGUGUCUUUAUGAAGACAUUUGUUGAUGAUUCGCCUUUUUGUAAAGUAAAAACCUGGACAGCUAAAAUCCAUGUUAUCGAUCUCUCUCAUGCUUGAUUAGAUUUACAGAUAAAUCUUUAAAUGAUAGCUAUCUUGUUUGAAAUUUUACCAAUCUUUUGCAUUGUUUCUAAUUUUGUCUCUGCCAUAAAAACGAUAACUCUCAAUCUCUUUUAUUAAUACUAGGCGUAGAGUUUUAUUUCUGUCUGGGGCAGGGUGAAAUUUCAGAUGCAUGGUAUUCAGUUGCACUUACAGUUUUCUAUUUCAACACAAAGUAAGAUAGAAGCUUUCUUCAUUUGCAGAGUUAAGCAU